GGAGAAGUAUCGAAGUGGUCAUAACGAGCCGCACUCGAAAUGCGGUCACCGGUAACGGUGCGUGGGUUCGAAUCCCACCUUCUCCG
rnacentral:tRNA from 1 species